UAUUACCAGUUCUGCAUUUGGCAAAUUUCCUUGAACUGAGGAGUUGGAUCUCUUUAAUUUAUAAGGAUGUUUUAAAGGAAACAAGACGCCUGCUCAGGCGUUCACACUGACCUGAAAAUGACGACAUACGUGCUAUGGUGCAAUAGACAAGAAUACAAAUCGUGUACCUUAAAUGCAAAGCGUUGUGUGAUCCUGAGGAGAUGUUUUCGUAAUGUCCAAUGAAACACAAGUAUUACUCGCAAACACAAACGUUAUCCAUAAAUUAUGCACAUGGUCUCUGAGCAUGUGAUGCAUUGUUUACAUUCCAUGAGUUUGUAAGUAUGUAACGCAUAACAUUCGAAAAACUCGGCGAUCCAGAUAUCACAUUUACCAGACGUUGCACGAAAAAAUACAACCAGUCAAUUUCCAAGAAAGUGCAGAGGAGAUUGCAGCUAGAGUAGAAUAUUAAAAUCCAAAAUCCACAGAAAAACGCGGGAAAAUUCGUUGACAAAUGAAGAAAUUGUUUGAGACUGAAAUAGUCACUCAUUGAAUGGCCGCCAUCUUGAAAACUGAUUUGUAUAGUAAACUGAAACGACUGGAACCUGAGCCUGCGAUGGGCUAACGCAAACACGAUUUCUCGACGACGAAAAAAACAGAAGAAAACUGGAAAACACAGAAUAAAACAGAAAAUUAAGGAUUUAAGACACUUGACUUUUCAGGUCAGUGUAAUGAAUUGUUUUUAAGGAAUUUCUAAGGAUUUUUUAGCAUUUACUAGGAGUUACUAUCGCGCGCAAGGAAAUUGCUGCUUUUUUGCCCCGUGAACUGAAUGCAAAAUUAACUUGUAUAGUUAUACGUACACAUGCUAUGUUUAUGCUUCUAGACUAUCUAAAGGGAAGUUUACUUUUGACCCAAUGACCUCAUUUCCAUAUGUUUCAUCAUUGGUUGCAUGGCAGGCCUGCACAUGAAUGUUAUAUCCCCUAUGUUUCCUGCACAAAUUUGUUUCUCGGUAAUUAUUUAAGCUCGUAACAUGAGUAAAUAACCAACAUGAAAAUGAGGCCAUUGGGUCAAAAGUAGAUAAACAGCAUUAGCUGGCAAUGCAGCUUACGUAGUAUUAAUUAUAACUCUGUCUAACGGCCAAAAAAUUUAUACUGUGUUUCGCCAGACGCUUUUACUUGACAGUAGUAGAGUACUAUAUAUCAGUAAAAUGGGUUAACAAACCUAUCUGCUAAUGUCUCUUAUUAACCAUUAGCUGACUUUAGUAUUUACUGUCUACAAACGGCAGACAAUUUUACUUGUCAGUGGGUAUAUGAGUACUGUCAGUAAAUGGGUUAACCGGCGACUAUAUAACAUAUUUCAGAUUGAGCUAGUUAAAUUCUCGGGAAACAUUUUGUCAAAACUUUUUCUUAAGAUUGGCUUAGAAACUACGUUGGAG